UGAUAGCGGUGAAGCGUGAAGUUACUAAAGGCCGUGUAACACAAGGCACAGAUAAUUCCGUGGAGCGAAUGUCAUGUUGCGAAAACUGGCGACAA
rnacentral:ncRNA from 1 species